UUAUGACCGAUCCGAAGAGCUGGACUCGUGGGUGACAUCCAGCCGCGCAGGAAGUGUAGACGCCCCACGUUGUCAAACCGGGCCUGCCCCAUGUCU
rnacentral:sRNA from 1 species